GCGCCCGAGGAGGAUCCGGUCUCCUGAAGCAAAGUUCUGUGACACUCAGACUCUGGUUACGAUAGCAGUCAGUGCACUACAGAACUUUGUCUCCGGGGGCUGCGGCGGCGGAGCGGCUCG
rnacentral:pre_miRNA from 7 species